GAUUACGUGUUCAUUUUUUCCUCUCCUCUCAAUGAGGUUUGGUCGUUUUCUUUUUCAACUUUUUCUACCUUUAACUCAACGUUUUCAUUUCAUUCUCAUGAUUCUCAUGGAAUGGAUGAGUUUCUUUCUAUUCCUUUUUUGAUCAUUUUAUUUUCUCUCUCUCUUUUUAUCUUUUCUCUCUUUUCUCUCUUGCAAUGUUCUUUUUCUUUGCUCUCUUGUAACUAUGAAGGUUUAUAAUAUUCUUUUUUUGUUCUGUGUGUUGUCUACUUUUACUUUACUGUUUUUCUUUUUACAUUUAUUAUUCUAUUUUGUUUGAAAUUCUAUUUUUAAAAAUAUUCUUUUUUUCUCCUGUUCCGGCCACAUUUUUUUUUCUCUUGUGUGUUUUUUUUUCUUCUAGUUACUUUUUGAUGCUUUUUCUUUUGGUUUUUUUUAUUUGCUUUUUCUCUGCUUCUUCUUCAUCAUCUUCUUCUAGUACCAGAGACAAACAAAACUGGUUUUCACGAUGGUUUGACAGAAAAUAUUUGAUUAUUCUGAGAUCAUUGUGAAAGCUGUUUCUGUAGUCUCGUCCCCAUCAUCACCAACACCAUAACCAUCAUGAUCCACCAUCACACCAUCACAGCCAGAAAAAUUCAUCUUCUUCUCCACCAUCGUUCAAGUCAAAAUUCUUUCUCUCUUUUGCCUUUCUUACUUUCUCUCCUACUCUCUUUUUCUCUUUUUCUCUUUCUCUCUUUUUUUUCUCUCUCAAUACACACGAUAAAACGCCUUUGUCACCACCACCAUCAUCAUCACCAGUAGAAAAGAAGAAAAAAACUCAAGGACCUUUUGUUGAUAUUUCCUGUUGCCAUUUAAAAAUUUUUUCCUCACCAUUAUGAGUUCUAUAUCUUCUCGACAAGAUGGAAAAAAGUCACUAUCAAUUGGGAACAGCUUUCCCUUUGUAACCAUUAAUAUACAACAAUCUAAAGUCUUGUUGAUAUCCCUCACUAACUAACUACUUAUUAAGCUUAUUAAUAUGAAUUAACUAUUAUCAUUAUUUACUGUGGCAACAACAUGAAAAUGGUUCCUCUUAAUUGUAUUAUAAUGAACUUCAAUUGAUCCUGAAAUUUUGAUAUUCACUUAUUUACUCAACCUCAAUCUAAAUUGACUUAUGGAUUUUGAUUAGGAUGAUUGAAAGCCCUUUGUACUGGCAGCGCAUUUAAAGAUUGAUUAGCUAAACAAACCAUCAAGAUUUGAGCUUUUCUUUUCCUCGCAUCUUUAACCAUUUCUCAUCUUUUUUUCCUCCUCAUCAUCACCCCAACAAAUAUCUUAUCAUUUUCCUCCUUACAAGAGAUAAGCAAGAUGAAGAGAAAUGAUCUUAACUUU